GACAGAGGCCUCGAGCGUUAGGCGGAAUCACUGGGCUUAAAGCGUGUGUAGGCGGAUCGUUAAGUACCUUGUGAAAUCCCACGGCUCAACCGUGGAACGGCUGGGUAUACUGGCGAUCUUGAGCCACCUAGGGGCGAGCGGAACAAGCGGUGGAGCGGUGAAAUGCGUAGAUAUCGCUUGGAACGCCAACGGUGAAAACAGCUCGCUGGGGGUGUGCUGACGCUGAGACACGAAAGCCAGGGGAGCGAACGGG
rnacentral:rRNA from 1 species